GACGAACGCUGGCGGCGUGCCUAACACAUGCAAGUCGAGCGGGAUCCAUCCAGUGGCAACACUGGGGAAGAUCUAGCGGCGAACGGGUGAGUAACACGUGAGAAACUUGCCCCGGAGUUCGGGAUAACUCGGGGAAACUCGAGCUAAUACCGAAUGCCCUCUUCUGAUCGCAUGGUCGGAUGAGGAAAGAUUCAUCGCUCCGGGAGAGUCUCGCGGCCUAUCAGCUAGUUGGCGGGGUAACGGCCCACCAAGGCAUCGACGGGUAGCUGGUCUGAGAGGACGAUCAGCCACACUGGGACGGAGACACGGCCCAGACUCCUACGGGAGGCAGCAGUGGGGAAUCUUGCGAAAUGGGCGAAAGCCUGACGCAGCAACGCCGCGUGCGGGAUGAAGGCCUUCGGGUUGUAAACCGCUUUCAGCAGGGAAGAAAUUGACGGUACCUGCAGAAGAAGCCCGGGCCAACUACGUGCCAGCAGCCGCGGUAA
rnacentral:rRNA from 1 species